AGAGUUUGAUCAUGGCUCAGAUUGAACGCUGGCGGCAUGCCUUACACAUGCAAGUCGAACGGCAGCACGGGUGCUUGCACCUGGUGGCGAGUGGCGAACGGGUGAGUAAUAUAUCGGAACAUACCUUGUAGUGGGGGAUAACUAUCCGAAAGGAUAGCUAAUACCGCAUACGCUCUGAGGAGGAAAGCGGGGGAUCGUAAGACCUCGUGCUAUAAGAGUGGCCGAUAUCUGAUUAGCUAGUUGGUGAGGUAAAGGCUCACCAAGGCGACGAUCAGUAGCUGGUCUGAGAGGACGACCAGCCACACUGGAACUGAGACACGGUCCAGACUCCUACGGGAGGCAGCAGUGGGGAAUUUUGGACAAUGGGGGCAACCCUGAUCCAGCAAUGCCGCGUGAGUGAAGAAGGCCCUCGGGUUGUAAAGCUCUUUUGUCAGGGAAGAAACGGUGGAGGCUAAUAUCCUCUGCUAAUGACGGUACCUGAAGAAUAAGCACCGGCUAACUACGUGCCAGCAGCCGCGGUAAUACGUAGGGUGCAAGCGUUAAUCGGAAUUACUGGGCGUAAAGCGUGCGCAGGCGGUUUUAUAAGACAGAGGUGAAAUCCCCGGGCUCAACCUGGGAACUGCCUUUGUGACUG
rnacentral:rRNA from 1 species